rnacentral:rRNA from 1 species
UACGUAGGGGCCAAGCGUUGUCCGGAUUUAUUGGGCGUAAAGAGCUCGUAGGCGGUUCGGCAAGUCGACGGUGAAAUCUCCACGCUCAACGUGGAGGCGCCCGUCGAUACUGCUGUGACUCGAGUCCGGUAGGGGAGUGUGGAAUUCCCGGUGUAGCGGUGAAAUGCGCAGAGAUCGGGAGGAACACCCGUAGCGAAGGCGGCACUCUGGGCCGGUACUGACGCUGAGGAGCGAAAAGCGUGGGGGAGCAAACAGGG